rnacentral:rRNA from 1 species
GCAAGUCGAGCGAACAGACGAGGAGCUUGCUCCUCUGACGUUAGCGGCGGACGGGUGAGUAACACGUGGAUAACCUACCUAUAAGACUGGGAUAACUUCGGGAAACCGGAGCUAAUACCGGAUAAUAUAUUGAACCGCAUGGUUCAAUAGUGAAAGACGGUUUUGCUGUCACUUAUAGAGGGAUCCGAGCCGCAGUAGCUAGUGGGGAAGGUAACAGCUUACAAAGGCAACGAUGCGUAGCCGACCUGAGAGGGUGAUC